GUGAAUCAUCGAAUCUUUGAACGCACCUUGCGCUCCUUGGUAUUCCGAGGAGCAUGCCUGUUUGAGUGUCUUGAAGUCAUCAACUCCAUCCGUUUUUGAAACGGUUUGUGUGUUGGAAGUUGGGGGUCUGCUGCCAAGUGGCUGCUCCCCUCAAAAGCUUCGGUUGGGCCUGUGGGUCGAACUCGACUGGGCGUUGUACCAUCCUCGCUCCGAACGAGAUGUUCCCCUUUGCGUGCCCCACUUGGACCUGCCUAAUUGGAGAGGCGGUCAAGCCUUUGAAAUCUGACCUCAAAUCAGGUAGGACUACCCGCUGAACUUAAGCAUAUCAAUAAGCGGAGGA
rnacentral:misc_RNA from 1 species